rnacentral:rRNA from 1 species
AUUGAACGCUGGCGGCAGGCCUAACACAUGCAAGUCGAGCGGUAACAGAAAGAAAGCUUGCUUUCUUUGCUGACGAGCGGCGGACGGGUGAGUAAUGCCUGGGAAUAUACCCUGAUGUGGGGGAUAACUAUUGGAAACGAUAGCUAAUACCGCAUAAUCUCUUCGGUGCAAAGAGGGGGACCUUCGGGCCUCUCGCGUCAGGAUUAGCCCAGGUGGGAUUAGCUAGUUGGUGGGGUAAUGGCUCACCAAGGCGACGAUCCCUAGCUGGUCUGAGAGGAUGAUCAGCCACACUGGAACUGAGACACGGUCCAGACUCCUACGGGAGGCAGCAGUGGGGAAUAUUGCACAAUGGGGGAAACCCUGAUGCAGCCAUGCCGCGUGUAUGAAGAAGGCCUUCGGGUUGUAAAGUACUUUCAGUUGUGAGGAAGGCGUUGGAGUUAAUAGCUUCAGCGCUUGACGUUAGCAACAGAAGAAGCACCGGCUAACUCCGUG